AGAUGCUUGCAUCUUGUUUACUUAGUGGCGGACGGGUGAGUAUAAUAUAAGAAUCUACCCUUAGGUGGGGGACAACAAUUGGAAACGAUUGCUAAUACCCCAUAUGCGAUACGUAAAAGACUUCGGUCGCCUAAGGAGGAGCUUGUACCUGAUUAGCUAGUUGGUAAGGUAAUGGCUUACCAAGGCGAUGAUCAGUAGCUGGUCUGAGAGGACGAUCAGCCACAUUGGGACUGAGACACGGCCCAGACUCC
rnacentral:rRNA from 1 species